GUCUAUAUGAAGGUGUAUAUAGUUUGGCCUGCUCACUGAUUAUAUUAAAGAGCCGCAGUAUUUUGACUGUGCGAAGGUAGCAUAAUAAAUUGUCUUUUAAAUGGAGGCUUGAAUGAAAGGUUGGACAAAGUAUCAUCUGUUUCUUAAAUAUUUAUUGAAUUUGACUUUCAAGUGAAAAGGCUUGAAUAAAUUAAAAAGACGAUAAGACCCUAUAAAUCUUUACAAUAGACAUAUUUUAUAUUUUUAUUUAUUAAGUGAAUGAAAUAUUAAAUUUGUAGUUGUUCCGCUGGGGCGGCGUAGAUAUAUAAAUGAACUGUCUAUAAUUUUAAAUACAAUAAUUAUUGAUUAAUGAAAUUGAUCCUUAAAUAGAUUAAAAGAUUAAGAUACUUUAGGGAUAACAGCGUUAUUUUUUCUGAGAGUUCUUAUCGAAGAAAAAGUUUGCGACCUCGAUGUUGAAUUAAAGUAUCUUUAUGGUGCAGUCGCUAUAAGAGAGAGUCUGUUCGACUUUUAAUACUUUACAUGAUUUGAGUUCAGACCGGCGUGAG
rnacentral:rRNA from 1 species